rnacentral:rRNA from 1 species
AGCUUUAUAGCUAGCCCACUAAACCAACCCCAACCAAUCCCUGUUAAUAACCCCCAAGUACACUAGUACUCACAUAAACAAACCAUUUUUCCCCCUUAGUAUAGGUGAUAGAAACGGACCCACAGCGCAAUAGAAAAAGUACCGCAAGGGAACGCUGAAAGAGAGAUGAAAAAGACCAGUGAAGCCUAAAAAAGCAGAGAUUAUAACUCGUACCUUUUGCAUCAUGAGUUAGCAAGUGUAGCCCAAGCAAAGCGUGCUUUAGUUUGAUACCCCGAAACUAAGUGAGCUACUCCAAGACAGCCUAUUAAUAGGGCACACCCGUCUCUGUGGCAAAAGAGUGGGAAGAGCUUUGAGUAGAGGUGACAGACCUACCGAACCUAGUUAUAGCUGGUUGUUCAAGAAAUGAAUAGAAGUUCAGCCUCCCGGCUUCUCUUUUCACCCUAGGCCAACCCCUAUCGAUGUACUUAAGAAACCGGGGGAGUUAGUCAAAGGGGGUACAGCCCCUUUGAACCAAGAUACAACUUUACCAGGAGGGUAAAGAUCAUUAUACCCAAAGGAGAAUAUUUGGGUGGGCCUAAAAGCAGCCAUCCCCUCAGAAAGCGUUAAAGCUCAAAUAUGAUACAAACCCUUCUUAUUCUGAUCACCAAGUCUUACCCCCCUAAACAUAAUGAACCGCCCCAUGCUUGCAUGGGGGUGACUAUGCUAAUAUGAGUAAUAAGAGAGCUCCCUGGCUCUCUCCCUGCACACGUGUAUAUCGGAACGGACACCCCGCCGACCAUUAACGGCCCCAAGAAAAGAGGGGACUGAAAAACAGAUCAAACAACAAGAAAAGCAUUCAGUAACCAACCGUUAACCCCACACAGGUGUGCCCCCGGGGAAAGACUAAAAGAAAGAGAAGGAACUCGGCAAACACAAACAAGCCUCGCCUGUUUACCAAAAACAUCGCCUCUUGCUAACUUAAUAAAUAAGAGGUCCCGCCUGCCCUGUGACUAUUAGUUUAACGGCCGCGGUAUUUUGACCGUGCGAAGGUAGCGCAAUCACUUGUCUUUUAAAUGAAGACCUGUAUGAAUGGCAUAACGAGGGCUUAACUGUCUCCUCUUUCCAGUCAAUGAAGUUGAUCUUCCCGUGCAGAAGCGGGAAUAUAAACAUAAGACGAGAAGACCCUAUGAAGCUUUAGACACCAAGGCAGAUCAUGUUAACACCCUAAACAUAAGGCUUGAACCAAAUGAAGCCUGCCCGAAUGUCUUUGGUUGGGGCGACCGCGGGGCAUUGAAAAACCCCCACGUGGAGUGGGAGCACCCCUCCUACAACCAAGAGCUACAGCUCUAGUAAACAGAAAUUCUGACCAGCAAGAUCCGGUAAUACCGAUCAACGAACCGAGUUACCCUAGGGAUAACAGCGCAAUCCUCUUUUAGAGCCCAUAUCGACAAGGGGGUUUACGACCUCGAUGUUGGAUCAGGACAUCCUAAUGGUGCAGCCGCUGUUAAGGGUUCGUUUGUUCAACGAUUAAAGUCCUACGUGAUCUGAGUUCAGACCGGAGUAAUCCAGGUCAGUUUCUAUCUAUGCAGUGCUCUUUUCUAGUACGAAAGGACCGAAAAGAAGAGGCCCAUGCUUAAAGCACGCCUCCCCCUUACCUGCUGAAGACAACUAAAGCAGGCAAAAGGGCAUGCCGCCCUGCCUAAGAAAAAGGCAU